UACGUAGGGCGCGAGCGUUGUCCGGAUUUAUUGGGCGUAAAGAGCUCGUAGGCGGCUUGUCGCGUCGUUCGUGAAAACCCACAGCUCAACUGUGGGCUUGCGGUCGAUACGGGCAGGCUAGAGUUCGGUAGGGGAGACUGGAAUUCCUGGUGUAGCGGUGAAAUGCGCAGAUAUCAGGAGGAACACCGGUGGCGAAGGCGGGUCUCUGGGCCGAUACUGACGCUGAGGAGCGAAAGCGUGGGGAGCGAACAGG
rnacentral:rRNA from 1 species